CCUACGGGAGGCAGCAGUGGGGAAUAUUGGGCAAUGGGCGCAAGCCUGACCCAGCAACGCCGCGUGAAGGAAGAAGGCCCUCGGGUUGUAAACUUCUUUUAUCAGGGACGAAGAAGUGACGGUACAUAAUGAAUAAGCUAUGGCUAACUACGUGCCAGCAGCCGCGGUCAUACGGAGGUGGCAAGCGUUAUCCGGAUUUAGUGGGUGUAAAGGGCGUGUAGGCGGGGAAGCAAGUCAGAUGUGAAAUUCCAGGGCUCAACCCUGGAACUGCAGUUGAAACUGGUUUUCUUGAGUGAAGUAGAGGCAGGCGGAAUUCGGUGUGUAGCGGUGAAAUGCGUAGAUAUACGGAGGAACACCAAUGGCGAAGGCGGCCUGCUGGACAUUAACUGACGCUGAGGCGCGAAAGCGUGGGGAGCAAACAGGAUUAGAUACCCUGGUAGUC
rnacentral:rRNA from 1 species